AACUCACAGGGAAUGCUCCAUAGAUAGGUGUUUUGACAAAUAUCUCAGUGGUUGAGUAACUCAUCGAAAUGACAAAAAUUUAAUUGAUUUUCAGCCAUGCGUGGUAAUUACCUAGUUCACUCGUGUAAAGUUCGUAAGCAUGAAAAUUCCAAUCAUUUAAAUUUUACUAAAGUAGGUACAUAUAUCAAAGACUUCGCAGAUGCUCGUAGAUCUCGUAGUGGACGAAUUAAAAGACGCGUGCUCGAAUAUUGACUAGAAAUAUUUCGAUACCUAUUACCGAUUAUUAUUGAAUUAGCAAGAUGAAAGUUACAUUCGUUAUUACAAUUUCGGCAUUCAUCUUUUGUAUGUUGCUGCUCAGUCCAUCGAAUAUCAGAGAAACAUAUGCUCAUCCUGGGCAGCAUCGUGAUGCUCGUGCUACGGAAUCAAACGACACACAAUCAGCAGUACCCUGUUUUGCUAGCAUCAUAUGUAUUGGCAGUUUAAUACUCCCCCCUCCCUUCGGGCACGGUUAGGUAAUCUCAGUCAUAUUUUCUACCAUCGUGAUAAUUGGUAACACUGCGGCACCCACAUUUUGACCAAAUAGUUUGAUUACCGGUUAUUGAAUUUAAUAUAGUUGAAAUAUAGUCCCACCCAAAUGAAUUUGUAAUUUUUAUCGAACUUCCAUUCGUGUUUUGUACGUUAUUGAGAAAUAAACAUAUUAUUUUGCUGGCUACAA